UCUGCUGCUCUGUACUGGCUCUGCUGCUCCCAUUGGCCAGGAACUACAGCCAAUGAGUUGUGGGGGGAGGUGCCAGCAGGCAGGGGCAAUGCACAGAGCUGUCUGCCUGUGCCUGUGCCUACGAGCCGAGGUACAUGUUGCCACUUCCCGGGAGCCACCUGAGAUGUGGCCUUCAGGAAUGCCCCACACACCCCGGCUGAUCAUCUCCGCCAGAUAAGAACCACCCAAGAGGCAGCAAAGAAGAUGUGUUCCGGGAGGUCCUGCAGUGCUCUUAUGCAGAAAAAAGGGAACAAAAGGAGUGCUGGGAAGCCAAAUGGCAGGACAGAAAAGAGAAUCAGGCGUUUGUUAAGUGGAUGAUUAAAGUAACGGAGGAGCAAA